rnacentral:rRNA from 1 species
ACGUGGCGGACGGGUGGAGGAACACGUGGGCGAACCUGCCCGGUGGUGGGGGCGUAGCCGUCGGAAACGGCGGGUAAGUUCCGCAUGAGCUCGUCUCCCGAGUGGGGGAGGAUGAGGAAAGCUCUUCGGAGCGCCAUCGGAGGGGUCUGUGUCCGAUUAGUUAGCUGGUGGGGUAACGGCCUACCAGGGCGAUGAUCGGUAGCUGGUUUGAGAGGAUGAUCAGCCACACGGGGACUGAGACACGGCCCCGACUCCUACGGGAGGCAGCAGCAAGGAAUUUUCCGCAAUGGGCGCAAGCCUGACGGAGCAACGCCGCGUGCGGGAUGACGCUUUUCGGAGUGUAAACCGCUGUUCGUGGGGACGAAGCACUGACGGUACCCACGGAGGAAGGCCCGGCUAACUACGUGCCAGCAGCCGC